GGGAUAGGAAUCCUGGGCCGGAGGCGGGGCGCAGUGCAUCCUGGGUCGGCGUAGCCAUGGCGUCUCGUGUCCUUUCCUCCUGUGUCCGCCGCCUGCCUGCGGCCUUCGCGCCGCUGCCCCGGGUCUCCAUGCUGGCCGCCGCCCAGCCUUUCAGCACCGCUCUGUGCUCCGCGGGGACCCGGACGAAGCCCGGGCCUUCGCAGCCAGCAUCGGCGCUCGCGCAGGUUCCGAGUAGAGUUACACAGUUGUGCCGCCAGUAUUGCGAAGCACCCCCGUUGACAUUAGCGGGCAUCGAGGACCGUGUUCUUUACGUAUUGAAACUCUAUGACAAGAUUGACCCAGAGAAGCUUUCCGUAAAUUCUCAUUUUAUGAAAGACCUGGGCUUAGACAGUUUGGACCAAGUGGAGAUUAUCAUGGCCAUGGAAGACGAAUUUGGGUUUGAAAUUCCUGAUUUAGAUGCGGAAAAGUUAAUGUGUCCACAAGAAAUUGUAGAUUACAUUGCAGAUAAGAAGGAUGUAUAUGAAUAAAGUAUCAGACCCUUUAGCUUUGGUGAGAGAGGACACAGAUGAUACUGAUGAAUGGCAGUGAGGACACAGUUCGGCAUUAUUGCUGGCUCUGACAGAGUAAUUCGGAGGGACUUGUAUUUAAAUUGUUAUUGGGGGGGAAGAGGAACCAAAGUCCUGUAGUAAGCCUAUAGUAAGAAGUGUCUUCAGGGCAGAGGAACUAAG